UAACGGUUGCGGCUGUCUGCCGGGAGGUGUGGCUGAGCGCGUGCCGCAACGUGCACGUAACGGCGAGCAUGUGGCUCCGCGGCGCGCCUCAGGAGGUGGAUGCAAUCCGAACUAAUCAGCAGCGCGCAUUCGUGCAAUAAAAGCGUCGUACCGGCCAUUUUGGAAAAAAAAGAGAGAGCUGAGACGGCAGAAACAAACGCAAAAGAAUCUCCUCGCACUGUCACACGAACAGAUCUGAGCGCAUGGGAAAAGGACUUGAUCAAAGAGGGGCUACCGGUUGACAGAGCAGUGAUUUCCAUUAUGACUGGUGAGCAAAUGGCCAAAUAUAUCACUUCAUAUGGUGACAGAAUAGCUGUCCUUUCCUUCUGUCAACAAACAAUGUGCAGUCUCAAUAAAGAGACUCUUAUACAAAGAUUAAGAGAUUAAGAAAAUGAAGAUCAAGGACAAAAGCAGUGUUGUGUGGUACAUCAGGUGUGCUCCAAAACCCAGGUGAGGGGAUGGCAAGACACAGAAAUACUGCAGCAGAAAAGAAUUCCAGGAAGAUUGAAAUUGGAUGGCUUCAUUUUUACACUAAUGAAUACCAUGUGAGAACCAGCAAUGGCGGAGGAACAAGGCAUGCAACUGUGGGAAAAAAACAACAACUGUUGCUCAGAUUUUGGAGCUAGGAAAGGAGCUAUUUUUUUCUCAACCAAAGGGCAAGCUGAUGACUUUACCUUUGAGGUCCGUGAUUUUAAAAGAAAGCAGAUUCCUUUUAAUGACACUGUUGGUAGACUGUAUGAACAAACCAAACUGAAGCUGCUUAGAUUUUACAUUUGCACUAAAGAAGGACCUUCAACAGAUCGGUCUUCAUCUGAAGAGGAUGAAUGUUGUGAAGAUUCUUUAUCAGAGGAUUUAUCUGUCAGCAUCACUGAGGGAGCCGAUUUACAGUUGACUGAGGAUGGAUCUCACCUUGAUACAGAUGAUUCAAUUUCAGAUCUGCUGGAUCAUGGACGCUCAUCUGACAGUGACAUAAGCGAACAGAAUCUGCUUUUUCAAAGAGCAAUUUCUGAGACUGUGACAGCACAAGGUCCGGGAAAAUCACAUCCCUCUCAUUCAACCCCAACAGACAAUAAAAAAUCUCAAACUGGGCAGUGGCAGGACACCAGCACAAGUGAUCAUGAUGACAUUUGGAAUCAUCUACAGCCUUCUAAUGAUUCUCCUAUCUCAUUUGAAAUUAUGGGCUUGACCAGAGCAGUUCCUAAUGUCUCCCCACAAACAGAGCAUGAGCACAUCUGUCAAGUUACUUUUGAAGAGGUUCCAGAAGUAGACGACGCAGAUACAGUUGUAUGGGAUCCGGAAUAUGACCUUGGCAGAGCAGAUGGAGAUGAGGAAGUUGUGAUAACAUUGGACUAAGGCAACAGUGAGGAUGUCACACAGACGGUACUGAGAUGAAUGGACUCCCAUUGCCCUCAGCUAAUGACCUGCCUACACUAGCUGUGCAGUUCAUACAUGGGGAGGCAGUGCAAACUGCACAGAACAGUGAGCUGAAUCUUCUACCACAAGAUUUGCCCUCAAGUCCAAGCAGCCAUCUUUCGCCAUCAACCUCACCUUACAACCCAGGAAAUCAAGAGAGCACAUGACAUGCAUCAAUUUGCAGGAUUAAGGUUGUUGAAGAUCUUUUGGCUGUAUUUAUGGACAGCAGCAUAACACAUUUGACUCUGAAGAUGGACUUUGUAAAUGAAAAGGCUAUUGAUGAUACUGGAGUGUCAAGGGAGGUUUACACUGCAUUCUGGGAACAAUUUCUUGAACAGUAUGAAGGGGAAACGGAGCGAGUGCCAAGGUUGAGGCCAGAUUUCUGUGAGGCUGAAUGGCAAGCGGUUGGAUGGAUCUGGUUGAAAGGAUUAUUAGAUCAUGGUGUCAUGCCAGUGAGGCUAUCAAACGCUUUCAUUUUAGCCUGCAUUCAUGGCAUUGACUCAGUUGAUGUAGACAUCCUGAUGACAUCAUUUCUCAACUACCUUCCUCCUGUUGAGAGAUCAGCUGUUGAGAAGGCUCUUCAGGGCACAAUGGAGGAAAGUGAUGAAGAGGACUUGCUUGACCUCUCUACAAGGAUGGAUUCCCAUUUCAUACCUCCAAAGAACAGCAUGCAACCUGCCAUAGAAACAAUGGCUCACAAAGCUAUUCUACAAGAGCCAAAAUAUAUAGUUGAUUGCUUCGCCAUUCCCAUGGCACUUGUACAGCAGAAACUAUCAAGGAAAGGAAAGUGAAAGUGUGUUGUCUCUGUAUGAGUCAAAGAAAGCCACAGGCAAAAGAGUGUUGCAACUUUUUGAAACAACAAAGAUGGUGCUGUCUCAGAGAGAGCAGGCAACAUUUAACCAUCUCCAACGUUAUGUGAAAAAUGCUGACCAAACAAAAGCUGAAAAAAUCCUGCGUUUCUGUACUGGUUCCUCUGUCAUAUGUGUUGACAAAAUUAUGGUAUGUUUUAAUGCUGAAACUGGACUAAACAGAAGGCCUGUUGCUCAUACCUGUGGUGCUACCCUUGAAGUACCGUGCACGUACAGCUCUUACCCUGAAUUUCGCACAGUUUGACAACAUCCUGUCCCUUAACUACUUGGAAAUGGACAUCCUCUGAACUUGAGAGCAGAGUCCUGAUCAGGCCUCAUAGUAACAGGCCCCUUUAUUGUAUGGUUGAUAGUAUUUUACUUAAACGUCUUGUUUGUUUUAUCAUUGAUGCUGACAACAUCUGAUGCACUGAUCCGUGUGUAGAGCAGUCUGCAAUUGUACACCACCAUAGUUUUCACAUGGAUUUAAUUUUUUUUAAUUAUGCUUUAAAAAUGACUGCAACUUUUAUUUCCAUCAGUUUGACUCUAACAUGAGCUUCAUGGUUAAGCUUGUUGCUAAGAAAGAUUACGGAGUUGUUCAUCACUGGUAGAAUUGUUUAUUGUUGAUGUUAACAUGCUAAAGAGUCAUACCUGUUUAAUUAUUCAGGGAAAAACAGUUUGAAAUUUAAUGUUUACAAAAUCUACAAGCUGGUGUGGCCUGUGUGAAAUACAGCUAUUAGCUCACUUCAGCACCGCAUUAUAACAUUGUAUCUUUUUUAGUAAUGGAAUGUGUGUGCAUUUUUGCCAUGAAGUGACCUUUAGCAAUAUGCAUAUUUUUCAUAUUUUCAAGAUCUAAAUUGGUCUUAAUUAAGAAAACAAACUGAUAAGGCACAUUUUUUAUUUAUUCGUGGUUAUUUUCACACUGGGAAACAAUACAAGAUAAUUAGUUAUAAAAAUAUUUACACAGUAAUCAAAAAUAUCAAGUGCUUGUUCUGUUUUCUACCCCUCUCUGACAUUUCAUAACACAGGUUGUUCAGGUUGCAGGUAUCUUGACUAUGCAUUUAUAUCAACUAGAUGUCACCUGGUGUUUGUACUACUUGGUUCUAUAAGUAAUAAAAGUCCUGUUAAUUAUCA